GACGAACGCUGGCGGCGUGCUUAACACAUGCAAGUCGAACGAAGAGCGAUGGAAGCUUGCUUCUAUCAAUCUUAGUGGCGAACGGGUGAGUAACGCGUAAUCAACCUGCCCUUCAGAGGGGGACAACAGUUGGAACGACUGCUAAUACCGCAUACGAUCUAAACUCGGCAUCGAGGAUAGAUGAAAGGUGGCCUCUACAUGUAAGCUAUCACUGAAGGAGGGGAUUGCGUCUGAUUAGCUAGUUGGAGGGGUAACGGCCCACCAAGGCGAUGAUCAGUAGCCGGUCUGAGAGGAUGAACGGCCACAUUGGGACUGAGACACGGCCCAGACUCCUACGGGAGGCAGCAGUGGGGAAUCUUCCGCAAUGGACGAAAGUCUGACGGAGCAAACGCCGCGUGAGUGAUGACGGCCUUCCGGGUUGUAAAGCUCUGUUAAUUCGGGACG
rnacentral:rRNA from 1 species